GUGGGGAAUAUUCCGCAAUGGACGAAAGUCUGACGGAGCAACGCCGCGUGAGUGAUGAAGGUUUUCGGACUGUAAAGCUCUGUUGUUUAGGGCGAAAGUGCCUGUUGCAAAUAGUUACAGGUAUUGACGGUACUGAACGAGGAAGCCACGGCUAACUACGUGCCAGCAGCCGCGGUAAUACGUAGGUGGCAAGCGUUGUCCGGAAUUAUUGGGCGUAAAGAGCAUGUAGGCGGGAAUCUAAGUCUGUUGUGAAAAUGCGGGGCUCAACCCCGUAGUGCGAUGGAAACUGGGUUUCUUGAGUGCAGGAGAGGAAAGGGGAAUUCCCAGUGUAGCGGUGAAAUGCGUAGAUAUUGGGAGGAACACCAGUGGCGAAGGCGCCUUUCUGGACUGUGUCUGACGCUGAGAUGCGAAAGCCAGGGUAGCGAACGGGAUUAGAAACCCGUGUAGUCC
rnacentral:rRNA from 1 species